rnacentral:rRNA from 1 species
AGUGAACGCUGGCGGCGUGCCUAAUACAUGCAAGUCGAACGGAAUUUAAAAGAGCUUGCUCUUUUAAAUUUAGUGGCGCACGGGUGAGUAAUAUAUAGCUAAUCUGCCCCUUGCUGGAGGACAACAGUUAGAAAUGACUGCUAAUACUCCAUACUCCUUUUUACCAUAAGAUAAAUCGGGAAAGAAUUUCGGCAAGGGAUGAGACUAUAUCGUAUCAGCUAGUCGGUGGGGUAACGGCCUACCGAGGCUAUGACGCGUAACUGGUCUGAGAGGAUGAUCAGUCACAUUGGAACUGAGACACGGUCCAAACUCCUACGGGAGGCAGCAGUAGGGAAUAUUGCGCAAUGGGGGAAACCCCUGACGCAGCAAACGCCGCGUGGAGGAUGACACUUUUCGGAGCGUAAACUCCUUUUGUAGGGA